AAGCCAAUUGUAAUCUGGCUGCNACGUNGUCGAGUGUAAUCUAGAGAGGCGUUUCCGUGCCGGUCCGUGUCCAAGUCCCUUGGAACAGGGUAUCAAAGAGGGUAGACAAUCCCGUACUUGACACGACCACCGGUGCUCUGUGAUACGUCUUCGACGAGUCGAGUUGUUUGGGAAUGCAGCUAAAACGGGUGGUAAAUUCCAUCUAAAGCUAAAUAUUGGCGAGAGACCGAUAGCGAACAAGUACCGUGAGGGAAAGAUGAAAAGCACUUUGGAAAGAGAGUUAAACAGUAUGUGAAAUUGUUAAAAUGGGAAACGAUUGAAGUCAGUCGUGUUCAUUGGAUUCAGCCGGUUCUGCCGGUCUACUUCCUUUGAACGGGUCAACAUCAGUUUUGAUCGGUGGAUAAAUUCGGGAGGAAGGUAGGCAUCCUCGGAUGUGUUAUAGUCCUCCCGUUGCAUACGCUGGUCGAGACUGAGGAACGCAGCUCGCCUUUAUGGCCGGGGUUCGCCCACGUCCGAGCUUAGGAUGUUUGAACUAUUAAUUGGGCUUAUAAAAGCGAAACCCCGGUCUUGAAACACGGGG
rnacentral:rRNA from 1 species